rnacentral:rRNA from 1 species
AACGAACGCUGGCGGCAUGCCUAAUACAUGCAAGUCGAACGAGAUCUUCGGAUCUAGUGGCGCACGGGUGCGUAACGCGUGGGAAUCUGCCCUUGGGUUCGGAAUAACUUCUGGAAACGGAAGCUAAUACCGGAUGAUGACGUAAGUCCAAAGAUUUAUCGCCCAAGGAUGAGCCCGCGUAGGAUUAGCUAGUUGGUGGGGUAAAGGCCCACCAAGGCGACGAUCCUUAGCUGGUCUGAGAGGAUGAUCAGCCACACUGGGACUGAGACACGGCCCAGACUCCUACGGGAGGCAGCAGUAGGGAAUAUUGGACAAUGGGGGAAACCCUGAUCCAGCAAUGCCGCGUGAGUGAUGAAGGCCUUAGGGUUGUAAAGCUCUUUUACCCGGGAUGAUAAUGACAGUACCGGGAGAAUAAGCUCCGGCUAACUCCGUGCCAGCAGCCGCAGUAACAC